ACGUUUCUGUCAGUGCACCUUCCUCUUAAUUGUCCUCCAUGAAUUAUGACCUAAUUUCAGGAUUUAAAGGAAUAAAAGAUACUGGAACCUUUCACUUCUUCUCGCAGGCUUCCCAGUUCCAAUUUUUAUCUCGGUUUCAUUAGAGGUUAGAUUUUUCAGGUGCGUCAUUUCUUCCUCCCUCUUAUGUAAAGAUGCACAAAGUCACGAAGAAAAUAAGAAGCAACUACACCAGAGCUUACCUAGGAUGGUAUAAAAAUAUAUCUUUUUUUGAAUCACAGUAUGUAAAAUUUAGAUACUUCCAGUUUAUAUCCAGGUUAGUUUGUAGUUUUGCAUUUUUUUUCAUUGAAUCCUUCGUAUGACGUCCACAGAGAAUUACUUACAAUUACUACAUCGAGAGACUUUCUCCCAGACCGGAACUUUUGUGCAGAAAGCAACCCAAAACAUUGACACGCUGAGAUGGAGAUAAUCCAAAAAUAUACAUUUAAGGGUUCAUGAUUGUCAAAUUCGUUCUGGGAGUAACCUGAAGAACUUUCCUUGGAAGAGGGGUCGAAUAUGAAGCAUUAUGAGGUUGGUGGUGUAAGAGUUAAAGUAUUAGGAAAAUUGUUUUGACUAUAUUUUUACAAGCUAAAAGUUAUCACAGCAGGAAGUUCGAACCUACUGGAAUUUUAUGAAAUCGAAGAACAACUACAAUGUCAUGUUCGUAAAACAUGAAGUAUGUGGAGAUAUUCUCAAAUUUUCGGAUUCCAUGUAUCCUAAAUUCAUCGGAAGGAUUGGUGGUCAAGCAACAAAUAUGUAAAGAGCAGUAUCCUAUAUUGUUUAGAUUGAAAGAGGCAGUAUUUCGUGAUAUGAGAGUGGACAUUGGAUGGCUAUUAUGUUUCUCAUGACAUUUGAAUCCAGUAGAGAGCAUUGAUUUGCUGAAGUUGAAAUUUGAACCAAGAAACAUUACUAUAAAGAAAAAUGGUGCUGGAUCAACUUGAAGACAUGGCAGUGGUGGCGUUUUAAAAAUUUUGUUUUGAGUAAGCGGUUGCCUCCUAAAGCCCUCCUUACAGCAUGAAGCAUGACAGUUUGUCAUAAAUUCUGAGGCGCUUCACUGUAGAGGAGUCCAGCUACUGUCUAAUCUAUGAUUGUUACGUUCGACGGAAUUGGAAGAUACAAGUCACGUGCCGAUGCAUUGUGAGCUUGCUUCAAUUGUUUGGAAAUUCAUUAUGUUUUUGAGUAUAAGCUGGGUACUGUUAAAGGAUGUACAAACUCCGUUUGAAGGUUGGAGCUGCAUUAAGUUGCAAGGAAGCUAUAGAACUAUAAACAAGGACAUAAAUGAUCUAAUAUUGUCGGUAAAAUAGUCUCUUAUUUUGUGGUGCUCCAAUGAAGACUCAUUUAGGGAUACUUCAUUUCAAUUUAUAUUUUUAAUUGGGAGGAGACUGCAGUGAAGUAAUUUUCUUCCGAGGUUUUCUGUUGACAGGCAUUGUUUAUCGUCCUUUGUAAAUGUUUUUUUUCUUCUUUAAUAUACUUCUCAAAACUAAAAAUAAGAAUUUCGGUUCACUAAUCUGUGAAUUCAGUAAA